GAUGAACGCUGGCUACAGGCUUAACGCAUGCAAGUCGAGGGGAAACGACGGGGAAGCUUGCUUCCCCGGGCGUCGACCGGCGCACGGGUGAGUAACGCGUAUCCAACCUGCCUCUGACUGAGGGAUAACCCGUCGAAAGUCGGCCUAAUACCUCAUGGCAUCGUCUGCGGGCAUCCAACGACGAUUAAAGAUUUCAUCGGUCAGGGAUGGGGAUGCGUCUGAUUAGCUAGUUGGCGGGGUAACGGCCCACCAAGGCGACGAACAGUAGGGGUUCUGAGAGGAAGGUCCCCCACAUUGGAACUGAGCCACGGUCCAAACUCCUACGGGAGGCAGCAGUGAGGAAUAUUGGUCAAUGGGCGAGAGCCUGAACCAGCCAAGUAGCGUGCAGGAUGACGGCCCUAUGGGUUGUAAACUGCUUUUAUGCGGGGAUAAAGUGAGGGACGUGUCCUUCAUUGCAGGUACCGCAUGAAUAAGGACCGGCUAAUUCCGUG
rnacentral:rRNA from 1 species